rnacentral:rRNA from 1 species
GAUGAACGCUGGCGGCGUGCUUAACACAUGCAAGUCGAACGAUGAAGCCCAGCUUGCUGGGUGGAUUAGUGGCGAACGGGUGAGUAACACGUGAGUAACCUGCCCUUAACUCUGGGAUAAGCCUGGGAAACUGGGUCUAAUACCGGAUAGGAGCGUCCACCGCAUGGUGGGUGUUGGAAAGAUUUAUCGGUUUUGGAUGGACUCGCGGCCUAUCAGCUUGUUGGUGAGGUAAUGGCUCACCAAGGCGACGACGGGUAGCCGGCCUGAGAGGGUGACCGGCCACACUGGGACUGAGACACGGCCCAGACUCCUACGGGAGGCAGCAGUGGGGAAUAUUGCACAAUGGGCGCAAGCCUGAUGCAGCGACGCCGCGUGAGGGAUGACGGCCUCCGGGUUGUAAACCUCUUUCAGUAGGGAAGAAGCGAAAGUGACGGUACCUGCAGAAGAAGCACCGGCUAACUACGUG